rnacentral:pre_miRNA from 1 species
UACCGAAGUUUUCCUCGGCAGUUAACUGCAGCCGGUUGCAUAAUUCGGCAGUUAACUGCCGAAGGGCAU